rnacentral:rRNA from 1 species
AGAGUUUGAUCCUGGCUCAGGAUGAACGCUGGCGGCGUGCUUAACACAUGCAAGUCGAACGAUGAUCCCAGCUUGCUGGGGGAUUAGUGGCAAACGGGUGAGUAACACGUGAGUAACCUGCCCUUAACUCUGGGAUAAGCCUGGGAAACUGGGUCUAAUACCGGAUAUGACUCCUCAUCGCAUGGUGGGGGGUGGAAAGCUUUAUUGUGGUUUUGGAUGGACUCGCGGCCUAUCAGCUUGUUGGUGAGGUAAUGGCUCACCAAGGCGACGACGGGUAGCCGGCCUGAGAGGGUGACCGGCCACACUGGGACUGAGACACGGCCCAGACUCCUACGGGAGGCAGCAGUGGGGAAUAUUGCACAAUGGGCGAAAGCCUGAUGCAGCGACGCCGCGUGAGGGAUGACGGCCUUCGGGUUGUAAACCUCUUUCAGUAGGGAAGAAGCGAAAGUGACGGUACCUGCAGAAGAAGCGCCGGCUAACUACGUGCCAGCAGCCGCGGUAAUACGUAGGGCGCAAGCGUUAUCCGGAAUUAUUGGGCGUAAAGAGCUCGUAGGCGGUUUGUCGCGUCUGCCGUGAAAGUCCGGGGCUCAACUCCGGAUCUGCGGUGGGUACGGGCAGACUAGAGUGAUGUAGGGGAGACUGGAAUUCCUGGUGUAGCGGUGAAAUGCGCAGAUAUCAGGAGGAACACCGAUGGCGAAGGCAGGUCUCUGGGCAUUAACUGACGCUGAGGAGCGAAAGCAUGGGGAGCGAACAGGAUUAGAUACCCCGGUAGUCC